rnacentral:rRNA from 1 species
GCCCAGACUCCUACGGGAGGCAGCAGUGGGGAAUAUUGCACAAUGGGGGGAACCCUGAUGCAGCGACGCCGCGUGGGCGAGGAAGUAUUUCGGUAUGUAAAGCCCUAUCGGCAGGGAAGAAGAAAUGACGGUACCUGAAUAAGAAGCACCGGCUAAAUACGUGCCAGCAGCCGCGGGAAUACGUAUGGUGCAAGCGUUAUCCGGAUUUACUGGGUGUAAAGGGAGCGUAGACGGCAGUGCAAGUCUGGAGUGAAAGGCGGGGGCUCAACCCCCGGACUGCUCUGGAAACUGUACGGCUGGAGUGCAGGAGAGGUAAGUGGAAUUCCUAGUGUAGCGGUGAAAUGCGUAGAUAUUAGGAGGAACACCAGUGGCGAAGGCGGCUUGCUGGACGAUGACUGACGUUGAGGCUCGAAAGCGUGGGGAGCAAACAGGAUUAGAUACCCUUGUA